AUUGAAAACUCUCCUCUGGGUUGGAGGUUAUGUAAUCUCUACAUUCAAAGCCGGUAUCAAUAUCUCCACAAUCAUGCGAUUAUGUUUUUGAUUUCAAAUUGUGAUUGUGAUAUAACUGGAUCACACAAUCAGAGGUUGGUGGGUUGCCUUUGUUCAACUGCAUAUCCCUUUGAUCCAAUUGGCACGAUUGAUGAGCAUUGUGUUUGCUACCUAUUCAAUAGGUGUGUGUCUUCCUGACGAAGAGAUUCUACAAGUUCUUGAUGGCUAAAGAAUACUCCCACCUAGAGUUUAGGUGCGACCUUCUCCACAAUCAUGCGAUUAUGUUUUUGUUUUCAAAUUGUGAUUGUGAUAUAAAUGGAUCGCACAAUCAGAGGUUGGUGGGUUGCCUUUGUUCAACUACAUAUCCCUUUAAUCCGAUUGGCACGGUUGAUGAGCAUUGUGUUUGCUACAUAUUCAAUAGAUGUGUGUCUUCCUGACGAAGAGAUUCUACAAGUUCUUGAUGGCUAAAGAAUACUCCCACCUAGAGUUUAGGUGCGACCUUCUCCAAAAUCAUGCGAUUAUGUUUUUGGUUUCAAAUUGUGAUUGUGAUAUAAAUGGAUCGCACAAUCAGAGGUUGGUGGGUUGCCUUUGUUCAACUACAUAUCCCUUUAAUCCGAUUGGCACGGUUGAUGAGCAUUGUGUUUGCUACCUAUUCAAUAGAUGUGUGUCUUCUUGA